UAACUGAGAAAAAUGAAAUGGGAUCUGAGAUUCCUGCAGCUUGAUUUAAGAAAAAUCUUCAGUUAUUUAUUUGUUUCUUCCACAGAAAAUGAGUGCAAGUCUGGUAAGAUUAAGAAACUUGAUGAAAUUGGCAAGAGUGAUAUAAGGAUUCAUCUACUUGGAAUGAUUAUCAAGGUCUUUCUUCCGAAGGAGUCGUUUCAACAUCUAAUUCCAUGCCAAUUACAACAGUUUCCAUGCCAAUUACAACAGUUUCCUUGCCAAUUACAACAGUUUUCAUGUAGGCUGCCUUGUUGCCAUGAUUGUGAAGAUUCAUUCAUACAUGAUUUAAAGUCUAAGAGAUCACUUUCAUCCUCGUCAUGGAGGCCAUGUGUGUCUGGUGGGAAUUGAGUGAUGCUGGAGAGGAAAAAUGUAGUCGAGCUUUUCAGAACAAAAUUUAUGUUAGUCGAGAUGAGAUUUCAAAGAUCAGCUCAGCGAUUGAAGAUCUAAACCUACAGAUUUAGGUUCCGUAAAUCCUGAUUGUAUACAUUGAACAUUUUGAUUAAGAAUCUAGCUGUUGAGUAGGCCAAGUUAAUCCUGACAAAUGAAUGAAAUAGGGAUGGAGAUAGUUGAUGAAAGUGGCAACAAAAAUAUAAGGAUCUAUCUUUUUGUAAUAAUUUUCAAGGUCUUUGUUCCCAAGGUUGAUUAAGAUGACACGGUGACAAGCGAUCUGAAGAGUUUGAACAUCCAAUUCGUUGCCAAUUACAACAGUUUUCGUAUAUGCUGCCUUGUUGUCGUGGUGAUAAACGAUUUAAAGAGUCGUUCAAAGAGACUUUUAAUUUUAAGAGAGCACUUCUAUCCUCGUCUUGGCAGCCAUGUCAGUAUAGUGGGAAUGGGGUGAUGCUGACGAAGAAUUUGGUACUUCACAAAAUCAUGGGACAUCUUUGAACAUCUCUCUUUGGUCAAUAAUAAAGAGAUCGGUUUUGACGCCUUCAAAGCUACCUUUCCUGUUUCUGGGAUUAAUAAGUUUAUAAACUCUCAAGGUUUGGUGAUCAACGGGGAUGCCAGCAUCAAACAGACAGGUUCCUGGUCACGUGAGGAACCAAAUUCACCUUUCUGGAGUCUGGAGCAGUAUUAGCUGAGUUAUGGAAGCAGACAAGAAAGAGAAAGGAGCUAUGGAAGCAGAAAACUCCAUCCUUAAAGCUGAAGUCAAUAAAAGCUGAAGUCAAUAGACAGAGGGAUGAGAAAAGUGCUCUUAUCAAUGGUCUCUAAAACCAAGUUUUACAUUCGACUUCAGCUUUAAGGAUGGAGUUUUCUGCUUCUAUAACUGCCUUUGACAAUCACCAACCAGCAGGUGGUUGAAAAUUAGGAGACAACAGUACGUCCAAUGUUCAGACUAACCGUUUCUAUGGAAAAUAUUUUCUAUAGUGGUCGUCAACACUGCAGAUUUGACUCCUAACAGAGACAGGGCGGUAUUCCCUACAUUUGAGGAAAAAAAGAGGGAACUCGCCAAAAGAAAGAAAUCAAAAGUGGAUGUGGAUGUGGAUGUUUUUAGAGGGAAAUUCAGUGGUUACUAAGGUUAUCAAUCCAAUAUGCAUGUGUACCAAAGGAAGCACUGCUGAUUGGAAUAUAAUGAAUUUGCUGAUAUUCCUCCUGAGAAAAUUAGAGUACUUAAUAAUCAAGUAUGGUGAUGAACAAGACCCACUGGCAGCGAUCAAGUAAGUCAUGAAGAAUGCUAUGCCAUGCAUAGGCACAACAUUUGUGCGGAUUACAAAAAGUUUGCCAGUCACAAUGAAGCUUUGGCGGUCGACCCAACCGAUGACUUGGAGAUUACAAAAGCAGACUGACUUCAUAUGUGUAAAAUUCUCACCACCGACGAAUUCAAGGACAUGAUGCAGCUGCUGCAAUAGAAUUAACCGUAGUACCUAUGAAGACCAAGUAAUCUAAAUGGCGCUAAAACUGCAAUAGAAGAGACCUAAGGCAUCUUUUAUUGGAAAACCUACUACCAUCCUUGGCUGCCAUGACGGAUAGCCUUGAAAUGGUUUUUUUUUUUCCAGACACUGCCCGUGCAUUUCCUUUUCUGCUAACAUCAUUAGUCAAGUCUGUAUGACAACUAUAAUGUUUACUAUCAUACCUUAGCUAGUAUAUAGAAAAUCAGAUCAUGGUGGUGUUGUUUUCAUCUAUAUGUUUGUUUGAUUAUGUACUGAUCUGAGAAGAGAUUUUAGUUCGAAAGUUUUUAUAUCAUGUGAUCAUGAUAAUCUAUCAAGUUUUCUUUUCUGAUUUUCA